AUGCCUCCUGCUGAAUGCUCCUUGUGCCGAUAUUUUUCUUCCCUUCACUGUCCAGGUGGCAGUCGCAGCCCUCCAUCCGUCUAUGUCCUGCCCCCACCCGCGGAGCAACUGGCUUUGCGGGAGACAGCGACCGUCACUUGCCUGCUGAAAGACUUCUACCCCAACGACAUCUUUGUGAGAUGGAUGCGGAACGAUGAGCCUGUGGCGCCUUCAGAGUACUACAUCGGCCAACCCGUACGGGAAUCCAAGAGCCCAGAACGGUACUUCGCCUACAGCACGUUGAACGUCAAAGAGCAGGACUGGAGUUAUGGAGCCACUUACACCUGCGUGGUGGGACACGAGGCGCUUCCCCUCCAGACGACUCAGAAGACCGUAGACAAGAACACGGCUUACCUCGUUGGGAUUGUAGACAUCGUUGACGACGAAGGACUCCUAAACCUCUCAUCCAUCCUUUCCACUUUCAUCAUCCUCUUCCUCGUGAGCAUUUUCUAUGGCGCCACCGUGACUGUCAUCAAGGUAAAAUAGAAAUGACAACCGUCUACAGACAAUGGAUCAGUCAGAUUCUGCCCUGUCAUUCUAAUCAAGGACUUAUACCUCUCUGUUCUCUUUUGUGAAAGGGUCAACCUGGAGAAAUUGCAUUAUUCUCAUGGUUUAUCUCAUAGCCUUAUCAUUCAUUCUGUAUUAAGCUAGAUUUGUGCUACCUGUUUACAUUUUAAAUCCACCCAAAUUAUAUGCUGCAAUUUUGUUUUUUAUCUAUGUAUUUCUGUGAUCGUCAUAUUUUAUUCUAGCUGUUAUUGGGUGAAGCCAUAAAGACUCAUGUGUA